AAUUUAAACAAAUCUCUUUUACGCCCUAAGGCCCACUUCAAUCAUUUCUCCCCAUUUCUUCACAUAACGUCUUCAAAUCCUCCAAAAAUUUCAUCAACAAUUUCACUAAAACUUUCUCCAAAUUCACCAAAAAGUUCUUCAAAUUUCACAAAUUUCUUCAAUUCUGUUGUUAAUACAUUUUCACCUUAGAAUAUAAUUGUGGACGGUUUUUGUUGCUCCAAAAUUAGCGUAAUUUUUUAGGGUUUUUGUAGAUCCGUUUUAAUGAAUCCUCGAGGAAGAUAUCCACCACCAGGAAUGGGCGGCCGUGGUGGCGGCGGAAACCCUAACAUGUACUCAAACCCUAACCCUAAUUUUCAACAGAGAAAUCCAAAUCCACAACAACAGUAUGUGCAGAGAAGUCCAAUGAAUCAUCAACAGCAACAGCAGCAUUUUCAAAACCAACAACAACAAACACAGCAAUGGCUUAGAAGGAACAACAACAAUCAGUUGUCGUCGGAUAAUACGGUUGACGAGGUUGAAAAAACUGUUCAAUCUGAGGCAGUUGACCAAAGUUCACAAGACUGGAAGGCCAGGUUGAAACCACCACCAGCUGAUACUCGAUACAGGACAGAGGAUGUGACAGCGACCAAGGGAAAUGAAUUUGAAGACUAUUUCCUUAAGCGCGAAUUGCUUAUGGGAAUAUAUGAGAAAGGCUUUGAGAGACCAUCUCCAAUCCAGGAAGAGAGUAUCCCAAUUGCUCUUACUGGGAGUGAUAUUUUGGCUAGGGCAAAAAAUGGAACAGGGAAAACUGCUGCUUUCUGCAUUCCAGCACUGGAAAAAAUUGAUCAGGACAUCAAUGCCAUACAAGUUGUUAUCCUUGUUCCCACACGAGAAUUGGCUCUUCAAACUUCUCAAGUUUGUAAAGAACUUGGGAAGCACUUAAAAAUUGAAGUCAUGGUUACCACCGGGGGGACGAGCUUGAAGGAUGAUAUAAUGCGACUCUAUCAACCAGUUCAUUUACUGGUUGGAACUCCUGGAAGAAUACUUGACCUUGCGAGAAAGGGAAUAUGUGUUUUGAAAGAUUGCUCCAUGCUUGUCAUGGAUGAGGCUGAUAAGCUUCUUUCUCCGGAGUUUCAACCUUCCAUUGUGCAGCUGAUUCGUUUCUUGCCAGCAAAUCGUCAAGUCUUAAUGUUCUCUGCUACAUUCCCAGUCACAGUCAAGGACUUCAAAGAUAGAUAUCUGCAGAAGCCAUAUGUUAUCAACCUUAUGGACGAACUUACUCUCAAGGGUAUAACACAAUUUUAUGCUUUUGUAGAAGAAAGGCAGAAGCUUCACUGCCUUAACACUUUAUUCUCAAAGCUUCAAAUCAACCAAUCAAUUAUCUUUUGCAACUCUGUAAACCGUGUGGAACUGCUAGCCAAGAAGAUCACAGAGUUAGGCUAUUCAUGCUUCUACAUCCAUGCAAAGAUGCUUCAAGAACAUAGGAACAGAGUAUUUCAUGACUUCCGUAAUGGUGCCUGCAGGAACCUUGUUUGUACUGAUCUGUUUACUAGAGGGAUAGAUAUUCAAGCAGUCAAUGUUGUUGUCAAUUUUGAUUUCCCGAAGAACUCAGAGACGUAUUUACACAGGGUUGGCCGUUCAGGCAGAUUUGGGCAUCUUGGUUUAGCUGUGAACCUGAUUACUUAUGAGGAUCGCUUCAACCUGUAUAGAAUUGAACAAGAACUAGGAACAGAGAUCAAGCAAAUUCCUCCGCACAUAGAUAAUGCUAUAUACUGUAUGUGACCAGUUAGCUGCCUGGUUUAUGGUGCACCAAUGGUGAGUCUCUUGUACAGAAAUCUCAGGUUGAAGGUCUCCGACUCCUGAGAGGCUGAGAGAAUGGGUGACUUGGCUGUUUCAUGGUUGCUGAGACAACUGAGUUCAUCUUUAGAUCUAAUGACACUUUUUAAGUUUAUCCAAAAAAAAUUUAGCGGUAAAUACUGACACUGGAUAGGUCCAGUCAGAGACUGACUGUUGUUGAGUCCCCUGGUUUAUGUAGUAUUUGACAUUUGUCGGUGUUUCCUUUUCGCUGUAUGUCUAUCGGAUAAAGCUGUAAAAGUAUUUGCUCUAUGGUAUUUGGAUUUGUAUUCAUCUGCGGCAUAUGGUAAUGUGGGCAUUGAUCAUGGAGAAGUGACGCCUAAAGAUAUCAACCCAACAUCUUAAGUGAUGGAGUAGUCUUUUUCGUGAAUUUACGGAGAUGAGUAUCGGAAGUUCAAGCACUGUCUCAGUAUUUGUGUAGCCUGUGUUUUUAGGGCGCUGUACUCCUUUCAGCUCUUAUAGCUUUUCUCCUGUUAUGUUAGCGUUUGAAAUUGCCAAGCAGGCUAUGCAUGAAUUUAGUCAAUUUGGCUGAUGUGAAGAGUGAUUUUAUUUUUAUCUAUUUCUGGAUUUCUAUAA